rnacentral:misc_RNA from 1 species
AAAGUCGUAACAAGGUCUCCGUUGGUGAACCAGCGGAGGGAUCAUUACAGAGUUGCAAAACUCCCACACCCUUUGUGAACGCACUGGAACUACUGCUUCGGCGGGCAAGCUCUUCAGUGGGCAGCCCGCCGGAGAAGCACUAAACUCUUGCUGUACCACAGUGGCACAUCCGAGUCAAAACAAACAAACAAAUCAAAACUUUCAACAACGGAUCUCUUGGUUCUG